rnacentral:rRNA from 1 species
GGUUAAGCGACUAAGCGUACACGGUGGAUGCCCUGGCAGUCAGAGGCGAUGAAGGACGUGCUAAUCUGCGAUAAGCGUCGGUAAGGUGAUAUGAACCGUUAUAACCGGCGAUUUCCGAAUGGGGAAACCCAGUGUGAUUCGUCACACUAUCAUUAACUGAAUCCAUAGGUUAAUGAGGCGAACCGGGGGAACUGAAACAUCUAAGUACCCCGAGGAAAAGAAAUCAACCGAGAUUCCCCCAGUAGCGGCGAGCGAACGGGGAGCAGCCCAGAGCCUGAAUCAGUGUGUGUGUUAGUGGAAGCGUCUGGAAAGGCGCGCGAUACAGGGUGACAGCCCCGUACACAAAAAUGCACAUGCUGUGAGCUCGAUGAGUAGGGCGGGACACGUGGUAUCCUGUCUGAAUAUGGGGGGACCAUCCUCCAAGGCUAAAUACUCCUGACUGACCGAUAGUGAACCAGUACCGUGAGGGAAAGGCGAAAAGAACCCCGGCGAGGGGAGUGAAAAAGAACCUGAAACCGUGUACGUACAAGCAGUGGGAGCACAGAGCAAUCUGUGUGACUGCGUACCUUUUGUAUAAUGGGUCAGCGACUUAUAUUCUGUAGCAAGGUUAACCGAAUAGGGGAGCCGAAGGGAAACCGAGUCUUAACUGGGCGUUAAGUUGCAGGGUAUAGACCCGAAACCCGGUGAUCUAGCCAUGGGCAGGUUGAAGGUUGGGUAACACUAACUGGAGGACCGAACCGACUAAUGUUGAAAAAUUAGCGGAUGACUUGUGGCUGGGGGUGAAAGGCCAAUCAAACCGGGAGAUAGCUGGUUCUCCCCGAAAGCUAUUUAGGUAGCGCCUCGUGAAUUCAUCUCCGGGGGUAGAGCACUGUUUCGGCAAGGGGGUCAUCCCGACUUACCAACCCGAUGCAAACUGCGAAUACCGGAGAAUGUUAUCACGGGAGACACACGGCGGGUGCUAACGUCCGUCGUGAAGAGGGAAACAACCCAGACCGCCAGCUAAGGUCCCAAAGUCAUGGUUAAGUGGGAAACGAUGUGGGAAGGCCCAGACAGCCAGGAUGUUGGCUUAGAAGCAGCCAUCAUUUAAAGAAAGCGUAAUAGCUCACUGGUCGAGUCGGCCUGCGCGGAAGAUGUAACGGGGCUAAACCAUGCACCGAAGCUGCGGCAGCGACGCUUAUGCGUUGUUGGGUAGGGGAGCGUUCUGUAAGCCUGUGAAGGUGUGCUGUGAGGCAUGCUGGAGGUAUCAGAAGUGCGAAUGCUGACAUAAGUAACGAUAAAGCGGGUGAAAAGCCCGCUCGCCGGAAGACCAAGGGUUCCUGUCCAACGUUAAUCGGGGCAGGGUGAGUCGACCCCUAAGGCGAGGCCGAAAGGCGUAGUCGAUGGGAAACAGGUUAAUAUUCCUGUACUUGGUGUUACUGCGAAGGGGGGACGGAGAAGGCUAUGUUGGCCGGGCGACGGUUGUCCCGGUUUAAGCGUGUAGGCUGGUUUUCCAGGCAAAUCCGGAAAAUCAAGGCUGAGGCGUGAUGACGAGGCACUACGGUGCUGAAGCAACAAAUGCCCUGCUUCCAGGAAAAGCCUCUAAGCAUCAGGUAACAUCAAAUCGUACCCCAAACCGACACAGGUGGUCAGGUAGAGAAUACCAAGGCGCUUGAGAGAACUCGGGUGAAGGAACUAGGCAAAAUGGUGCCGUAACUUCGGGAGAAGGCACGCUGAUAUGUAGGUGAAGUCCCUCGCGGAUGGAGCUGAAAUCAGUCGAAGAUACCAGCUGGCUGCAACUGUUUAUUAAAAACACAGCACUGUGCAAACACGAAAGUGGACGUAUACGGUGUGACGCCUGCCCGGUGCCGGAAGGUUAAUUGAUGGGGUUAGCGCAAGCGAAGCUCUUGAUCGAAGCCCCGGUAAACGGCGGCCGUAACUAUAACGGUCCUAAGGUAGCGAAAUUCCUUGUCGGGUAAGUUCCGACCUGCACGAAUGGCGUAAUGAUGGCCAGGCUGUCUCCACCCGAGACUCAGUGAAAUUGAACUCGCUGUGAAGAUGCAGUGUACCCGCGGCAAGACGGAAAGACCCCGUGAACCUUUACUAUAGCUUGACACUGAACAUUGAGCCUUGAUGUGUAGGAUAGGUGGGAGGCUUUGAAGUGUGGACGCCAGUCUGCAUGGAGCCGACCUUGAAAUACCACCCUUUAAUGUUUGAUGUUCUAACGUUGACCCGUAAUCCGGGUUGCGGACAGUGUCUGGUGGGUAGUUUGACUGGGGCGGUCUCCUCCUAAAGAGUAACGGAGGAGCACGAAGGUUGGCUAAUCCUGGUCGGACAUCAGGAGGUUAGUGCAAUGGCAUAAGCCAGCUUGACUGCGAGCGUGACGGCGCGAGCAGGUGCGAAAGCAGGUCAUAGUGAUCCGGUGGUUCUGAAUGGAAGGGCCAUCGCUCAACGGAUAAAAGGUACUCCGGGGAUAACAGGCUGAUACCGCCCAAGAGUUCAUAUCGACGGCGGUGUUUGGCACCUCGAUGUCGGCUCAUCACAUCCUGGGGCUGAAGUAGGUCCCAAGGGUAUGGCUGUUCGCCAUUUAAAGUGGUACGCGAGCUGGGUUUAGAACGUCGUGAGACAGUUCGGUCCCUAUCUGCCGUGGGCGCUGGAGAACUGAGGGGGGCUGCUCCUAGUACGAGAGGACCGGAGUGGACGCAUCACUGGUGUUCGGGUUGUCAUGCCAAUGGCACUGCCCGGUAGCUAAAUGCGGAAGAGAUAAGUGCUGAAAGCAUCUAAGCACGAAACUUGCCCCGAGAUGAGUUCUCCCUGACUCCUUGAGAGUCCUGAAGGAACGUUGAAGACGACGACGUUGAUAGGCCGGGUGUGUAAGCGCAGCGAUGCGUUGAGCUAACCGGUACUAAUGAACCGUGAGGCUUAACCUU